rnacentral:rRNA from 1 species
GACGAACGCUGGCGGCGUGCUUAACACAUGCAAGUCGAACGCUGAAGGCCUGGCUUUUGUUGGGCUGGAUGAGUGGCGAACGGGUGAGUAACACGUGAGUAACCUGCCCUCUUCUUUGGGAUAACGCCCGGAAACGGGUGCUAAUACUGGAUAUUCACUGAUCUUCGCAUGGGGGUUGGUGGAAAGGUUUGUUCUGGUGGGGGAUGGGCUCGCGGCCUAUCAGCUUGUUGGUGGGGUGAUGGCCUACCAAGGCUUUGACGGGUAGCCGGCCUGAGAGGGUGACCGGUCACAUUGGGACUGAGAUACGGCCCAGACUCCUACGGGAGGCAGCAGUGGGGAAUAUUGCACAAUGGGCGAAAGCCUGAUGCAGCGACGCCGCGUGAGGGAUGGAGGCCUUCGGGUUGUAAACCUCUUUCGCUCAUGGUCAAGCCGCAACUGUGGGUUGUGGUGAGGGUAGUGGGUAAAGAAGCGCCGGCUAACUACGUG